ACGAACGCUGGCGGCGUGCCUAAAACAUGCAAGUCGAACGAGGGAGCAAUCCCUAGUGGCGAACGGCGGAGUAAUACAUGAACAACGUGCCCUGAAGACCGGGAUAGUCAGUGGAAACGCUGGGUAAUACCGGAUGUGGCCGACACGAGGCAUCUCGAGUCGAUUAAAUGGUUUUCCGCUUCAGGAGCGGUUCAUGGCCUAUCAGGUAGUUGGUGGGGUAACAGCCUACCAAGGCAACGAUCAGUAGCCGGCCUGAGAGGGUGAUCGGCCACACUGGAACUGAGACACGGUCCAGACUCCUACGGGAGGCAGCAGUGGGGAAUUUUGCGCAAUGGGCGAAAGCCUGACGCAGCAACGCCGCGUGGGUGAUGAAGGUCUUCGGAUCGUAAAACCCUGUCGUCAGGGACGAAGGUUAGUCGUUGAAUAGGCGAUUGACUUGACGGUACCUGGAGAGGAAGCCCCGGCUAACUCUGUGCCAGCAGCCGCGGUAAGACGUAGGGGGCGAGCGUUGUCCGGAUUUACUGGGCGUAAAGCGCGUGUAGGCGGCUUGUUAAGUGUGAAGUGAAAUCUCUAUCGCUCAACGAAGAAACUGCUUUACAUACUGGCAAGCUUGAGGAAUGCAGAGGUUAGUGGAAUUCCUGGUGUAGCGGUGAAAUGCGUAGAUAUCACGAGGAACAUCAAUGGCGAAAGCAGCUAACUGGGCAUUAUCUGACGCUGAGAUGCGAAAGCGUGGGUAGCAAACAGGAUUAGAUACCCUGGUAGUCCACGCCCUAAACGAUGGAUACUAAGCGUAGAAGUAUCGACCCCUCUUGUGCCGCAGCUACGCAUUAAGUAUCCCGCCUGGGGAGUACGGCCGCAAGUUGAAACUCAAAUGAAUUGACGGGACCCGCACAAGCGUGGAGCAUGUG
rnacentral:rRNA from 1 species